AGAGAUGUGUGAUGACGCAUAUCAAUAAGCGGAGGAAAAGAAACUAACAAGGAUUCCCUUAGUAACGGCGAGUGAAGCGGGAAGAGCUCAAAUUUGAAAUCUUCAAGGUUCUACCUUGACGAAUUGUAGUUUAUAGAAGUGUUUUCUGUUAGUAGAGUGGCAAAAGUUCUUUGGAAUAGGACAUCAUAGAGGGUGAGAAUCCCGUAUUUGGUCAUUCUUUCUAGCUUUGUGAUACACUUUCAACGAGUCGGAUUGUUUGGGAAUGCAGUCCAAAAUGGGUGGUAAAUUUCAUCUAAAGCUAAAUAUUGGCGAGAGACCGAUAGCGAACAAGUACCGUGAGGGAAAGAUGAAAAGAACUUUGAAAAGAGAGUUAAACAGUACGUGAAAUUGUCAAAAGGGAAGCGUUUGACUCCAGUGUUGUUUUUCCGAAAAUCAAUUACGAAUGUUUUAUUUUUGAGAAGUUAUGACUUCAUCGGCUUGCUUCUUUCUUUACGAAACUUUCUUAAUGCACUCUUCGGUUAACAAGUCAACAUCAAUUUCUUUUGUUGUAAAAGGGUACGAGGAAGGUGGCUUUCUUUUCGGAGAAAGUGUUUAUAGCCUUGUACCUCUGCAAUCGGAGAGAUUGAGGUCUGCAGCGUAGAUCCUUCGGGGUUAGAUACAUUUGUGCUAAGUUAUAGCUUUUCAUAGACAACUUGUUGACUAUGUUUAGUCUUGUAGCUUACUCGCUUAUGCUAUUUUACCUACGCUUAGGAUGUUGACGAUCAGCUGAAGCGCG
rnacentral:rRNA from 1 species